UACAGAGGUCUCAAGCGUUGUUCGGAUUCAUUGGGCGUAAAGGGCGCGUAGGCGGCGGGGUCAGUCGGGUGUGAAACUCUUGGGGCUUAACCCCGAAACGGCACUCGAAACUGCCCGGCUGGAGGGCCGGAGAGGAGAUCGGAAUUCACGGUGUAAGCAGUGAAAUGCGUAGAGAUCGUGAGGAAGACCCGUGGCGAAGGCGGAUCUCUGGACGGCUAACUGACGCUGAGGCGCGAAGGCGUGGGGAGCGAACGGG
rnacentral:rRNA from 1 species